rnacentral:rRNA from 1 species
UCAAGUGACUAAGUGCAUGCGGCGGAUGCCUUGGCGAUCACAGGCGAAGAAAGACGCGGCAGCCUGCGAAAAGCUGCGGGGAGCUGGCAAACGAGCUUUGAUCCGCAGAUAUCUGAAUGGGGGAACCCACACCGCAAGGUGUAUCCGUAGCUGAAUACAUAGGUUACGGAGGCGAACGAGGAGAACUGAAACAUCUAAGUAUCCUCAGGAAAAGAAAUCAACCGAGAUUCCGGCAGUAGCGGCGAGCGAACCCGGAGGAGCCCAGCUUUUGAUAGUACGAACUUUAGCCGAAAGGUCCUGGAAAGGCCUGCUAUAGUGGGUGAUAGCCCCGUAGGCGAAAGAGUUGGUACGGUACUAAGGAAGCGAGAAGUAGAGCGGGACACGUGGAAUCCUGUUCGAAGACGGGGGGACCAUCCUCCAAGGCUAAAUACUCGUGAUCGACCGAUAGUGAACCAGUACCGUGAGGGAAAGGCGAAAAGAACCCCGGGAGGGGAGUGAAAUAGAACCUGAAACCGCAUGCAUACAAACAGUAGGAGCCUUUACGGAGGUGACUGCGUACCUUUUGCAUAAUGGGUCAGCGACUUACAUUCUGUGGCGAGCUUAACCGAAUAGGGGAGGCGCAGCGAAAGCGAGUUCGAAAUGAGCGUUCAGUCGCAGGGUGUAGACCCGAAACCAGAUGAGCUAUCCAUGGCCAGGUUGAAGGUGUGGUAACACACACUGGAGGACCGAACCGACUAGUGUUGCAAAAUUAGCGGAUGAGCUGUGGAUAGGGGUGAAAGGCCAAACAAAUCUGGAGAUAGCUGGUUCUCCCCGAAAACUAUUGAGGUAGUGCCUCGUGUGUCGCUCCAGGGGGUAGAGCACUGUUUUGGCUAGGGGGACAUGGAGUCUUACCAAACCAAGGCAAACUCCGAAUACCUGGAAGCGUGAGCACGGGAGACAGAGCACCGGGUGCUAACGUCCGGACUCAAAAGGGAAACAACCCAGACCGCCGGCUAAGGUCCCAAAUAACAGCUAAGUGGAAAACGAAGUGGAAAGGCCGUGACAACCAGGAAGUUGGCUUAGAAGCAGCCAUCCUUCAAAGAAAGCGUAAUAGCUCACUGGUCGAGUCCUUCUGCGCGGAAGAUGUAACGGGGCUAAGCUGUUAACCGAAGCCGCGGAUGCACUGGUAAUCCAGUGCGUGGUAGGGGAGCGUUCUGUAAGUCUGCGAAGGCGGUUCGAGAGGACUGCUGGAGAUAUCAGAAGUGCGAAUGCUGACAUGAGUAACGUUAAAGCAGGUGAAAAGCCUGCUCGCCGUAAGCCCAAGGAUUCCUGCUCUACGUUCAUCGGAGCAGGGUGAGUCGGCUCCUAAGGUCAGGCCGAAAGGCGUAGCCGAUGGGAAUCAGGUUAAUAUUCCUGAACCUGCGUCAGAUGCGAUGGGGGGACGGAGCAUGAAAGAUCAUCCGGGUGUUGGAAGUCCCGGUUGACGAGCGUAGGAGGUCUGCAGGCAAAUCCGCAGACGAUUCUCCAAGGCAAAGACACGUGCCGCCACGGCGGCGAAGUGAUCGGAAGUGCUUCCAAGAAAAGCCUCUAAGCACCAGUCUGACGCGGACCGUACCGCAAACCGACACUGGUGGGCGAGCUGAAUAUGCUCAGGCGCUUGAGAGAACUCGGGAGAAGGAACUCGGCAAAUUGACACCGUAACUUCGGAAGAAGGUGUGCCGUAGUAGCGUGAGAGGAGAGACUCCUCGAGCGUGAAUCGGUCUCAGAGAAUAGGUGGCUGCGACUGUUUAUUAAAAACACAGCACUCUGCAAAGUCGAAAGACGACGUAUAGGGUGUGAUGCCUGCCCGGUGCUGGAAGAUUAAUUGAUGGGGUGAGAGCCCUUGAUCGAAGUCCCAGUAAACGGCGGCCGUAACUAUAACGGUCCUAAGGUAGCGAAAUUCCUUGUCGGGU